GACACGUGCAUCCAAAGCUCAACCAGCGAAUGAUAAAAACUUUAUAUUUUUUUUUAGUUCAAGGUUUUAAUUCAUCACUAUGAAUUAAAACCUUCAGACACUGAAACUAAACCGAAAACUGCAGAAAGGAGAAGUUGGAUCAUCUUCAUCAGAAGUCUUCAUCACCUCAGUUCGCUGAUCAGUUUUGAGAAGAAAAGAAAACAAGCAACAGAUAUAAGAUCAGAGGAUCUGCUGAGUUAUCCCAGUUUCUCAACAAAAAGCUUCACACAGAGAAAAACCAGAGGACAAUAAAUAAAUAGAUUAAAUAAGACAUACCCAGAAGCUCUGAGACAUGAACUCCAUCCAUCUGCUGCAGUCCAUGUGUGAGACUGAAACUUUCAAAUCAACCGCCAGAACGAUGACGCGUUUAAGGACGCCUCUGAAACUGAAUCCAUGAGAAACACACAGACUGAACUUCUUACUACAUCCCAGGGUACCUGAACACAUCCUGGGUUCUUCUAAGUGUAAACGUGGCUCUAACGAAUGAGAUUCAAUAUUGGUGAAUUAUUGAUAUCAUCAGUUCCUCCAUCUUCUUCUUCUGAGGAUUUCUCCUCCAGUGGAAGCAGCUUCAGGUUGAACAUCUGGAUCCAGGAUGAGGAACUAAAGAGUUAAUCCAGUGUUGGAUGUCAGCCUGUGAUUAAAUGUGACUGAAUCCUCAGAGACGUUCAGUAAAGAUGUUCAGAAUAAACAACUAAAGAAUCAGAGAAUCUGAAUCCAGAGAAACUCUGACAUUUGCUCCAAACUGAUGGCAUAAAGACAUUUUUCCAUCCAGACUCAUUUCCACUCAAUGAUUUCUGCUCUGAUAUCAGUUUUCCUUGUUUCCAGGCAGAUUGUGUCUCUUCACAUGUUUCAGGUUCAGGUGCAGAGUUUCAGUCACUAAAACUGACUUUGUUCCUUUGAGCAAAUGAAACUUUAGAUCGACUAAACUGAACUGGAAAAGAUCUGAUUCUGUUUAUUGGUUCUGACAUGUUCUACCAUUUAAAUCUGAUUAAACA